UACGUAGGCAGCGAGCGUUGUUCGGAGUUACUGGGCGUAAAGAGUGCGUAGGCGGUUUUCUAAGUUUGGUGUGAAAUCUCCCGGCUUAACUGGGAGGGUGCGCCGAAGACUGGAAGGCUUGAGUAUGGGAGAGGUAAGCGGAAUUCCUGGUGUAGCGGUGAAAUGCGUAGAUAUCAGGAGGAACACCUGCGGUGUAGACGGCUUACUGGACCAUCACUGACGCUGAGGCGCGAAAGCUCGGGGAGCGAACGGG
rnacentral:rRNA from 1 species